GACGAACGCUGGCGGCGUGCUUAACACUUGCAAGUCGAGCGGAAAGGCCACUUCGGUGGUCCUCGAGCGGCGAACGGGUGAGUAACACGUGAGUAAUCUGCCCCUCACUUUGGGAUAGCCACCGGAAACGGUGAUUAAUACCGGAUAUGACCAUAUGUCGCAUGGCGUGUGGUGGAAAGUUUUUCGGUGAGGGAUGUGCUCGCGGCCUAUCAGCUUGAUGGUGAGGUAAUGGCUCACCAUGGCUUCGACGGGUAGCCGGCCUGAGAGGGUGACCGGUCACACUGGGACUGAGACACGGCCCAGACUCCUACGGGAGGCAGCAGUGGGGAAUAUUGGACAAUGGGCGGAAGCCUGAUCCAGCAACGCCGCGUGAGGGAUGACGGCCUUCGGGUUGUAAACCUCUUUCAGUACCGACGAAGCGCAAGUGACGGUAGGUACAGAAGAAGCACCGGCCAACUACGUG
rnacentral:rRNA from 1 species